rnacentral:tRNA from 1 species
CCGACCAUAGCUCAACUGGAUAGAGCACCCGCCUUCUAAGCGGGCGGUUGCAAGUUCGAUUCUUGCUGGUCGGGCCC